rnacentral:rRNA from 1 species
GUAGGGAAUAUUGCGCAAUGGGGGAAACCCUGACGCAGCGACGCCGCGUGAGUGAUGAAGGCCUUCGGGUCGUAAAGCUCUGUUGCAGGGGAAUAAAAAAAUGAAGGUACCCUGUGAGGAAGGAUCGGCUAACUUCGUGCCAGCAGCCGCGGUAAGACGAGGGAUCCUAGCGUUGCUCGGAAUCAUUGGGCGUAAAGAGGGCGUAGGUGGCUUGGUAAGUCAGGUGUGGAAGCCCAGGGCUCAACCCUGGAAGUGCAUUUGAUACUGCUGAGCUUGAGUGUCGGAGAGGUUACCGGAAUACCUGGUGUAGUGGUGAAAUACGUAGAUAUCAGGUGGAACACCGGAGGCGAAGGCGGGUAACUGGACGAACACUGACACUGAGGCCCGAAAGCGUGGGGAUCAAACAGGAUUAGAUACCCCUGUAGUCC